rnacentral:rRNA from 1 species
UACGAAGGGGGGCUAGCGUUGCUCGGAAUCACUGGGCGUAAAGCGCACGUAGGCGGCUUCUUAAGUCAGGGGUGAAAUCCUGGAGCUCAACUCCAGAACUGCCUUUGAUACUGAGGAGCUUGAGUCCGGGAGAGGUGAGUGGAACUGCGAGUGUAGAGGUGAAAUUCGUAGAUAUUCGCAAGAACACCAGUCGGCGAAGGCGGAGCUCG